UACGAAGGAUGCAAGCGUUAUCCGGAUUUAUUGGGUUUAAAGGGUGCGUAGGCGGCCUUAUAAGUCAGUGAUGAAAUCUUGUCGCUUAACGACAAACGUGCCAUUGAUACUGUAGGGCUUGAGUACAGAUGCCGUUGGCGGAAUGUGUCAUGUAGCGGUGAAAUGCAUAGAUAUGACACAGAACACCGAUUGCGAAGGCAGCUGACGAAACUGUAACUGACGCUGAUGCACGAAAGCGUGGGGAUCAAACAGG
rnacentral:rRNA from 1 species